rnacentral:lncRNA from 1 species
GUAGUUUGGUUUGGUUUGGUUUGGUUUUUGUCUGGUUGGUUGGUUGGUUGGUUGGUUGGUGAGGUCUCACGUGUCUAAUGAUCCCCUUGGUGCCCAGGCUGUUGGUGCAGAUGCAAAACUGAGCAUGUUGCAUUGCACCUUUGAACUGAGUGCUGAGAAACUGUGUGCUUCAGUUUAUAUGAAAUCAUAUAGAAUGGCUUUCAUCUAGUUGUCUUUAAUUGAUAUUGGAUAUUAAGUUAAUAAGGAAACUUUAGACAUAAUUUUUCUGAAAACAUAUAAUCUAGGAUACUUUAUUAAGCUCAUAAAAUCUAGUGACCAGGUUGUUUUGUUGUUGUUGUUUUGUUUUGUUUUGUUUUGUUUUGUUUGUAAGAGUAGCUAUCCACUGUCUAUUUAUGGAACAGUUUUCUUUGAGGAAGGCCUUGAUGAUUUUUCUCUAACUUACUGGCUUCUGAAGAGAUUUUACCCAGUUACCACUGGAUUUAGACUGCUCUUUCCAGGAGUGCAGAGUGGAGCAGUAGUCAUUUGUUCCCACGGGGAGUGGAGACGGUGCAGGGAGCCUGGCCGUGGAGGAAGUACAGAUGUGUCACAAUGGGGUCAGUGUUCUCCAGCUCUCCUAACCAAAAUCAGCCCUAAGGAGCAUUCACCAUAGUCAAGAACAUUAAUACAAACCUGAGAGCUCCCUUACUGGAGUUCCAUGUCCAAUCCUCAUUGGGCUAGCAGCAGCAUCCAGGUUCCAUUCAAGACGUGUUCCGGUGCAGACCUGUUGCUGACUGCACACAGGAGACAGGUCUCAUCAGCCACUGUGAUUUGCACUUGUACACAGUGUUAAAAUGAAACCUGCUAGCCAGGUAUGCUGCAUGCCUCUAGUCCCAGCACUUGGCAGGUAGAAGCAGGAGGAUCGGGAGUUAAGGCUAGCUUCAACUACAUAUGGAGAUCAGGGCUAGCCUGGGCUACAGGAGACCCUGCCUCAACAAAGAAAGCCCUCAAAGGAUGAGCUGAAGUUAUACACUAAAUAAGUAAAUAUUCAAAAUAAUCUAGCCUUAGAAAACCACUUCAUCUGAAGUCAAUGUCUUACUUCGUGCUUGAAGAAAGAGUGCUGUUUUUUAUUUAUUUCAAAUUUCAAGGCAUUCAGAUAAUCAAGAGGGGACAUGCGUUGUGGAACUGUCUGAUCUUUAUUAUGAUUUACUUGGAGUAAUACUUGGAUUUUAAAGCAACUACUUAAAAUUGUGUCCCUGAAAAGGAAAAGGAUGGCGUUCACAGUUGGUUGUGUUCCCUGCAUGGUUAAUUUUACCUGUGUGUCUAGAGGAAGGCCCAGGCUAGUGCGUGCAUUAAGCUAGUGCGUGCGUAUCUUCGGCUAGGUGUCAUUUCCCAAUGACUGAACUCUCUUCAUCUUUUUCUUCCAAUUAAAAAUGUAUGUGCCGUUUGCUCCUUAAGACAUUCCAUACCCUUAAGUCUUAGACUCGGAGGGGUCUGUCGGUCUGUUGGUCUGCCCGUCUGUAUCUUCAGUUCUCAGGAGUUUUCUUUGCUUGUGUGCUCAUUUGUGUGUUUGAGGCAGGGCCACAUAACCGAGUCCAGCCUUACAACUUGCGACUUAGCCUCACCUGUGCUGAAAGAGUCUGCGUACAUCCUAGAAACUUUAUUUUCUAGAAAUUCACCGAUUCUCAUGUGGUCAUUGAGUGCCACCAGUACAUCUGAUGGAUCCAGUUGGCACGUCAUGACAGAUUGACUUGUGUGACUGUGCCUGCUCUGUGUCGGGUGUUCAAAGCAUCUCCCAUGUACGCUGGAGCCCUGCAUCUCUGACCCUGUUUUACAAGCAAGGGCAGCGCCACAGGGGAGUUGAAGAGCUCUUGUGAGCUCAGCCCCUUCAGUCUCUGCAGGCAGUUCUAGCCAAGGGGACAGUCUUCUUCGCCUGUUUGGACAAGAUUAGUUCUCAGUCCUUUGGAAUGCGUUUUCCCAGUUCGUAGGAUUUUUCCCCCCUUUGUUCCUACUUAACGAUUCAAACACACUAUAAACCUCUUACUUGUUAAUUAUUAGAUGUAUAUAUUAAGUUAUUUGUUUUGAAUGUGAUAGAUUACGCCAAAGAUUCUCAGUAGCUAGUUCAAUCUUGAUUUAGUAAUAUUCAUAGAGCCACCGGCUGCCGUCACUGUUCUACAAAUCAGUGUCCUCCGCAGUCAGUCAUCCACUUUGCGACUCUAGUCCUGUCCCCGCGCCCCCAGAAGGUAUUCUCUGAUCGAAGUCUGUUAUGUGUACUUCCAUGAAGGAGGACUAUGUGCAGAAUGAAGAGAGCUAUCUUAGCUGAACAUUUGACAAAAUUCCUACCCAGUGUUUUGAUUGUACUUUGCCUGAUAAGUUUUAAAAUCACCAGAAAGUAAAACAAUUUUUACAGUUCAUGUCGUCGUCGUCAUCGAAGAAACCACACAUCCUGUGUCAUUGCUUAGCAUUUCUCACUGUGUGUGUGUGUUGGGGUGGGGGGGGGCGGAUGUGGGAAUGACAGGUUUUUCAGAGGUGAUUCCCUCAUGGGAAGAUAAAGGGGAAUGCAUGCUCUCUGUAGAGUAUUUCAUGCUGUGUUGACUUCUUACGGAGAGUCCCGAGACUGCUAUAAAGACUUGAUAAUUACGUGAACUGUUUUUCCCUUUUUGUGAUAUAUUCCUUGUAAUGAGAUGUGUUCUUAUAUUUUCUUAGUAAAAAUUUUCUUAUGUG